rnacentral:rRNA from 1 species
AUUGAACGCUGGCGGCAUGCCUUACACAUGCAAGUCGAACGGCAGCGGGGGAGAAGCUUGCUUUUCCUGCCGGCGAGUGGCGAACGGGUGAGUAAUACAUCGGAACGUGCCCUGUAGUGGGGGAUAACUAGUCGAAAGAUUAGCUAAUACCGCAUACGACCUGAGGGUGAAAGUGGGGGACCGCAAGGCCUCAUGCUAUAGGAGCGGCCGAUGUCUGAUUAGCUAGUUGGUGGGGUAAAGGCCGACCAAGGCGACGAUCAGUAGCUGGUCUGAGAGGACGAUCAGCCACACUGGGACUGAGACACGGCCCAGACUCCUACGGGAGGCAGCAGUGGGGAAUUUUGGACAAUGGGCGAAAGCCUGAUCCAGCAAUGCCGCGUGUGUGAAGAAGGCCUUCGGGUUGUAAAGCACUUUUGUCCGGAAAGAAAUGGCUCUGGUUAAUACCUGGGGUCGAUGACGGUACCGGAAGAAUAAGGACCGGCUAACUACGUGCCAGACGCCGCAGUAC